GGUUAAGCGACUAAGCGUACACGGUGGAUGCCUAGGCAAUCAGAGGCGAUGAAGGACGUGCUAAUCUGCGAUAAGCGUCGGUAAGGUGAUAUGAACCGUUACAACCGACGAUUUCCGAAUGGGGAAACCCAGUGCAAUUCGUUGCACUAUCGUUUGAUGAAUACAUAGUCAAACGAAGCGAACCGGGGGAACUGAAACAU
rnacentral:rRNA from 1 species